rnacentral:rRNA from 1 species
UACGGAGGGUGCGAGCGUUGUCCGGAAUCAUUGGGCGUAAAGGGCGCGUAGGUGGCCCGGUCAGUCUUUGGUGAAAGCGCGGGGCUCAACCCUGCGUCGGCCAGGGAUACUGCCGCGGCUCGAGCACUGUAGAGGCAGGCGGAAUUCCUGGUGUAGCGGUGAAAUGCGCAGAUAUCAGGAGGAACACCGGUGGCGAAGGCGGCUCACUGGCUCAUAUCUGACGCUCAGGCGCGACAGCGUGGGGAUCAAACAGG